rnacentral:rRNA from 1 species
UACGAAGGGGGCUAGCGUUGUUCGGAAUUACUGGGCGUAAAGCGCACGUAGGCGGAUAUUUAAGUUAGGGGUGAAAUCCCAGGGCUCAACCCUGGAACUGCCUUUAAUACUGGGUAUCUCGAGUCCGAGAGAGGUGAGUGGAAUUCCGAGUGUAGAGGUGAAAUUCGUAGAUAUUCGGAGGAACACCAGUGGCGAAGGCGGCUCACUGGUCCGGUACUGACGCUGAGGUGCGAAAGCGUGGGGAGCAAACAGG